rnacentral:rRNA from 1 species
UCCGGAGGGUGCUAGCGUUGUUCGGAAUUACUGGGCGUAAAGCGCGCGUAGGCGGCUUUGUAAGUUAGAGGUGAAAGCCCGGAGCUCAACUCCGGAACUGCCUUUAAGACUGCAUCGCUAGAACGAUGGAGAGGUGAGUGGAAUUCCGAGUGUAGAGGUGAAAUUCGUAGAUAUUCGGAAGAACACCAGUGGCGAAGGCGACUCACUGGACAUCUGUUGACGCUGAGGUGCGAAAGCGUGGGGAGCAAACAGG